AUUAUAUUCUUCGUUAUCAUGACCCGCAAAAGACCAACAUCCAGGAUUCAGAAGAUGGCAUUUCGGAAACCAGCAAACAUAGCAGAAAAUUUCGACAGCUUAGAAACUGAUUGUUCAAUUCAAACACGAGAAUCCCGAGAAGAUUCCGGUUUUUAUUCUGGACCUUCAAGUUGCAAAGAAAGUCUUUGCAAAAAGGAAACAGAUCUAAUUUCUCCAACGAAAGACAUAGGACUUCUGGAAGAAAACAUGGAACGUGUUGACAUCAACGGUCAGGCAGUUUCUAGAUCUGCAUCUUGUGAAAAUCUUGUAAAAACUGUCCUUCGCAUCAUAGAGCAAGACUUCGAUGGCGAUACACUGAUUCAUAUUGCAAUUAUACAAAAUGAGGAGUAUAUAGCAAAGUCUAUGAUUUCCAUGGUUUCCAUCCUUGACCCAGAGCUCCUAGAUAUUCCAAAUUUUUUAUUGCAAACUCCUUUACAUUUGGCUGUCCUCGUCCGAUCCGUGGAACUCGUGGAAAUUCUUAUCCAAUCGGGAGCCGAUUUGGGAUGUCGUGAUCUCCAUGGGAACACACCUUUGCAUAUUGCUUCUUACCAUGGUUUUGACAACAUCGUAGUUUGUUUACUGAAGUAUGCAAGUGGUAAAAAACGAAAAUCGACAUUUAUACAAGAAAUAAAUGACAGAAAUUAUGAAGGCCAAUCAUGUCUUCAUCUUUCUACAUUUAACAAUAGUCCUUCCCGUAAUUAACCUUCUGUCAAGAUUUGGAGCAGACGUAAAUGCACGUGACGGAAAGAGUGGUAAAACGAUACUUCAUCAUGCAGCAGAAAUGGGGAACACGAUUCUUAUGGAUUAUAUUUUACAGUUACCCGGAGUUGACGUCAAUUCCCAAACGUACGCCGGCCAAACACCUAGCUCUCUGGCCAGGGGUCGAGGUUUUCUAGAUAUUUGGACAACCCUAAGGAAAUUUGGCGGGAAAGACCGUGGAGAAAUUGACGACACUUAAUUUGCAUUUUUAUUUUAUACGUAAAAUGAACAUCAGUUGGUUUCGAAUGUUCACUAAUACGUACAUGUGUGCGGUUGUGCAAACUUUUGUUUAAUUCAAAUGUAAACGGAUAAUUAUUUUUUAUCCAAUUCUAUAUGUAAAUAUUUUAAUAUCAAACGAUAUAAUUAUCACGUGAAUGUACAUUUAUGUAAAUAUAUAUUGUUCUCCUAUUGUUAACUUUGAUAUUCUCAGGUUAUUGAUAUAUUAAAUAGUUGAUCUUGG
rnacentral:misc_RNA from 1 species